UACGUAGGGUGCAAGCGUUGUCCGGAAUUAUUGGGCGUAAAGAGCUCGUAGGCGGUCUGUCGCGUCGGAUGUGAAAACCCAGGGCUCAACCCUGGGCCUGCAUUCGAUACGGGCAGACUAGAGUGUGGCAGGGGAGACUGGAAUUCCUGGUGUAGCGGUGAAAUGCGCAGAUAUCAGGAGGAACACCGGUGGCGAAGGCGGGUCUCUGGGCAGUAACUGACGCUGAGGAGCGAAAGCGUGGGGAGCGAACAGG
rnacentral:rRNA from 1 species